UUUAUUUUUUUUUUAACAGAUUUUAUCUCCUGCUGAAAUGGCAGCUGAACAGUGGAAUAACUGAAAUACUGGCAAAAGACUAGUGUUUGGGUCUGUUGUGCUGUGACAGGGAAAAGCAGCUCUCUGUGGCCUCCAUGGCUGAUCGGUAGCUAAAGUGAAAGAGCAGAGCAACACUUACUUCAAUAAGCAAGUAUUCAAUCAUAUUAAAAUUGAAUGUGC
rnacentral:lncRNA from 1 species